rnacentral:rRNA from 1 species
UACAGGGGGGGCAAGCGUUGUUCGGAAUUACUGGGCGUAAAGAGCGUGUAGGCGGCUCGGUAAGUCUGCUGUGAAAGUCCAGGGCUCAACCCUGGGAUGCCGGUGGAUACUGUCGAGCUCGAGUCCGGUAGAGGCGAGUGGAAUUCCUGGUGUAGCGGUGAAAUGCGCAGAUAUCAGGAGGAACACCAAUGGCGAAGGCAGCUCGCUGGGACGUUACUGACGCUGAGACGCGAAAGCGUGGGGAGCAAACAGG